rnacentral:rRNA from 1 species
AGAGUUUGAUCCUGGCUCAGGACGAACGCUGGCGGCGUGCCUAAUACAUGCAAGUCGAACGCUUCUUUUUCCACCGGAGCUUGCUCCACCGGAAAAAGAAGAGUGGCGAACGGGUGAGUAACACGUGGGUAACCUGCCCAUCAGAAGGGGAUAACACUUGGAAACAGGUGCUAAUACCGUAUAACAAUCAAAACCGCAUGGUUUUGAUUUGAAAGGCGCUUUCGGGUGUCGCUGAUGGAUGGACCCGCGGUGCAUUAGCUAGUUGGUGAGGUAACGGCUCACCAAGGCCACGAUGCAUAGCCGACCUGAGAGGGUGAUCGGCCACAUUGGGACUGAGACACGGCCCAAACUCCUACGGGAGGCAGCAGUAGGGAAUCUUCGGCAAUGGACGAAAGUCUGACCGAGCAACGCCGCGUGAGUGAAGAAGGUUUUCGGAUCGUAAAACUCUGUUGUUAGAGAAGAACAAGGAUGAGAGUAACUGUUCAUCCCUUGACGGUAUCUAACCAGAAAGCCACGGCUAACUACGUGCCAGCAGCCGCGGUAAUACGUAGGUGGCAAGCGUUGUCCGGAUUUAUUGGGCGUAAAGCGAGCGCAUGCGGUUUCUUAAGUCUGAUGUGAAAGCCCCCGGCUCAACCGGGGAGGGUCAUUGGAAACUGGGAGACUUGAGUGCAGAAGAGGAGAGUGGAAUUCCAUGUGUAGCGGUGAAAUGCGUAGAUAUAUGGAGGAACACCAGUGGCGAAGCGCUCUCUGGGUCUGUAACUGACGCUGAGCUCGAAGCGUGGGGGAGCAACAGGAUAGAUACCCUGGUAGUC